rnacentral:lncRNA from 10 species
GGAUGGGAAGAAAUGAUAGAUGCAAUCCAGCCAUUGUGUUCUCGACUCUCAGUUCCAUCUUCUCAACUGACAUUGUCUUCCAAAGUCCGUGCCACACCACAGCCUGGAACAUCUCCCAAAGUGGUAUCUUGAUGCAAUGGUAGAGCUCAUGUCACAGUAUUGUAUGUCUCAGGUUUGAAUAACUCACCAGUGAAGUCAUCUUGACCUGGACAGAAAUUGAAUCCUCCCGAGAAUCCCAGGAGCUGGGUAGGUGAUCCUUCCCCAGAUGAGCCUUCCCUUGAAAUCUCUGCCAGGCAUCUGACCCAGAGAAACUGUGACACUCACAUCAUGGAUCUAUAUUGUCCUGUGGUAUAUUAAUCUGUUCUCAUGUUGCUGAUAAAGACUUACCUAAGACUGGGCCAUGAUCAUGGACUGCAUUCUCCAUACCAUGUUCAUAUCUUCAGUGGGAAAACAAACUCCUGAGUCCUGGAGACCUAGAAUGAGAGACACAGCUGACCUUGACCGUAUUUCUCACUUCUGAGAAGAUUGUAGCAGUAAUUCAGGUGCUAUUA